GGCUUAUUGUUUAUGAUUUUAAGUCUAGCCUGCCCAAUGAUGGAGUUGAAUGGCCGCGGUAUAUUGACUGUGCAAAGGUAGCAUAAUCACUAGUUUCUUAAUUGGAAGCUUGAAUGAAGGGUUUGAUGAAAAAAUUUCUGUCUCUAUUAGAGGUUAAAAAGCUUAGAUUUGUAUUGAAGACGAGAAGACCCUGUAGAGUUUUAUAUUUAUUGAAGUAAAAAAUUUUUAGAAUUUAAAAAAUUUUUGUAUUUUUUUAAUUGUUUGGUUGGGGUGAUUUAUUGUUACACUGAUUUGUGGAUAUUUGAUCCUUGUUAAAGAUUAAAAAAUUAAAUUACCUCAGGGAUAACAGCGUUAUUUUUCUUAGAGUUCUUAUCAAAAGAAAAGAUUGCGACCUCGAUGUUGGAUUAAAAUUAGUUGCUGGUGCAGGAGUUGGUGAGCUAGGUCUGUUCGACCUUUAAAUUUUUACAUGAUCUGAGUUUAGACCGGUGUGAG
rnacentral:rRNA from 1 species